rnacentral:rRNA from 1 species
UAGCCAGACUCCUACGGGAGGCAGCAGUGGGGAAUAUUGCACAAUGGGGGGAACCCUGAUGCAGCGACGCCGCGUGGGUGAAGGAGCACCUCGGUGCGUAAAGCCCUAUCGGCAGGGAAGAAACAGACGGUACCUGACUAAGAAGCCCCGGCUAACUACGUGCCAGCAGCCGCGGGAAUACGUAGGGGGCUAGCGUUAUCCGGAAUUACUGGGCGUAAAGGGUGCGUAGGUGGUUUCUUAAGUCAGAGGUGAAAGGCUACGGCUCAACCGUAGUAAGCCUUUGAAACUGGGGAACUUGAGUGCAGGAGAGGAGAGUGGAAUUCCUAGUGUAGCGGUGAAAUGCGUAGAUAUUAGGAGGAACACCAGUUGCGAAGGCGGCUCUCUGGACUGUAACUGACACUGAGGCACGAAAGCGUGGGGAGCAAACAGGAUUAGAUACCCUGUAGA